GCCAGCGGCCAUACUGCGUCGAUACACCGGAUCCCAUCCGAACUCGAGUAGCGGCGCAGCCCGGAUAGUACUGGGGUGGGGGACCGCCGGAAGUCUUAGGUGCUGCUGCUU
rnacentral:rRNA from 1 species